CGGACGACGCUGGCGGCGUGCCUAACACAUGCAAGUCGAACGAAGAAUGUUUUCGGAAUAUUCUUAGUGGCGGACGGGUGAGUAACGCGUGAACAAUCUGCCCCGUACAAAGGGAUAGCCUCGGGAAACCGGGAUUAAAACCAUAUAACGCUUUAGUACCGCAUGGUAAUAAAGUCAAAUCGAUUAAGAGGUAUGGGAUGAGUUCGCGUCUGAUUAGCUAGUUGGUGAGGUAAGGGCUCACCAAGGCGACGAUCAGUAGCCGGCCUGAGAGGGUGAACGGCCACACUGGAACUGAGACACGGUCCAGACUCCUACGGGAGGCAGCAGUGGGGAAUAUUGCACAAUGGAGGGAACUCUGAUGCAGCGACGCCGCGUGAGUGAAGAAGGUCUUCGGAUCGUAAAACUCUGUCCUUGGUGAAGAAAAGGACGGUAGCCAAGGAGGAAGCCCCGGCUAACUACGUG
rnacentral:rRNA from 1 species